GCUAGCAUAAAUUAAUAGAUCUCUGGUGAGUAUUCCCGCCUGUCACGCGGGUGACCCGGGUUCGAUCCCCGGUAACG